CAACCCGCUUCCACAUGAAGAACGCGCUAUUUGUGUCACUUUUCAAUUACGGCAGGUUGUUUCCCUUUGACGCCGUGUCACCGUGAACCCUGCGCGUGGAACCGCUGACAUUUCAUUAAUCCCCGGAAAGUGAAGUUUCAGUUUCGAACUCGUCCCAGCUCCGAGUGGAGAGGCGUUGAUUCCAGUGCUGAAAUGGCGCUCUCUAAAUUGCUUACGUCAUCAACAGCUGCGCCGUAUCUGCUAAUUGGACCGGCGCCGUCCGUUGACCGCCCGACAAGCCGCCAUCUUUGCCCACCUUGUUGUUGUGCAAGUAGAAAUAUCCCAGAACGCCUCAAAGUUCUUGCUGUUGCUAAAGACGAUUGCGCGCGCGUGAGUAAAUGAGUGGACACGCGCGUGCACGGUGCUAAAGUUCAGUUUGGUUAAAGGUGGAGGGAACCAGUUCUGUGGGGACCGUCGAACCCUCGAAGCCACGGGAUCCACUGCAGAAGUGCUCCUCCCCAAUAAGAAGCAGACGCGUGGAGGCCUCAGAGAUGGUCCAACGCAGCCCAGCGGGGUUCAGGAUGCAGGUAGGAACAGCUGACUCAGACACUGUACAGCUGCUGGGAACCUGCAAGGCCUCUGGUGGACGAGCCGGGGUUCAGGAACCAGCGCGGGCCAUUACUCAUCAGUGGAGAGGUUCUUUGUAUUUACACCUGUGUAAAAUCCCAGCUGAUGAAGGUAGAUGUUAUGACAACGUGCUGUGACGGUUGGACGCGACACAAACACAAAAGAAGAGGAUGGAUUUUGGAAGGCGGGGAUUUCCGCGAGAGUCGGACGGAUUGAAGCGGGCGCGACGACGCCGAGAGCCCGGCUGCGAUCAGAGACGGGCCGUCGGCGCUCCAUCCAGGUGUGAAGGUAAUGGCUGCACGCCGCUAAGCCCCUCAUCCGCCAUGUGGAAACGCGGGACUGUUGUGGGAUUUGGAGGGGAAAUUGAAUGUUGCCUUUUGUGUGCGCGGCUGACAAAGGUGCGGCGUUCGGAACGAGAGAUAAAACAAGGAAAUCACCCGGCAGGCGUUGAGCAAUGAUUUCCUUAUCUAUCACCACGAGAGAUCAUUUCAUUCCCGUAUGUAGCUGGAAGGGAGAAAUAAAAGCAUGUAAUCAUCUCA